rnacentral:rRNA from 1 species
UACGUAGGGUGCGAGCGUUGUCCGGAAUCAUUGGGCGUAAAGGGCGCGUAGGUGGCCCGGUCAGUCAGUGGUGAAAGCGCGGGGCUCAACUCCGCGUCGGCCAUUGAUACUGCGGGGCUGGAGCACUGUAGAGGCAGGCGGAAUUCCGGGUGUAGCGGUGGAAUGCGUAGAGAUCCGGAAGAACACCGGUGGCGAAGGCGGCCUGCUGGGCAGUUGCUGACACUGAGGCGCGACAGCGUGGGGAGCAAACAGGG